rnacentral:rRNA from 1 species
UACGUAGGGGGCAAGCGUUGUCCGGAAUCAUUGGGCGUAAAGCGCGUGUAGGCGGUCCGGUAAGUCCGCUGUGAAAGUCGGGGGCUCAACCCUCGAAUGCCGGUGGAUACUGUCGGGCUAGAGUGCGGAAGAGGCGAGUGGAAUUCCUGGUGUAGCGGUGAAAUGCGCAGAUAUCAGGAGGAACACCAAUUGCGAAGGCAGCUCGCUGGGACGUGACUGACGCUGAGACGCGAAAGCGUGGGGAGCAAACAGG